rnacentral:rRNA from 1 species
UACGGAGGGUGCAAGCGUUGUCCGGAAUCACUGGGCGUAAAGGGCGCGUAGGCGGCUCAUGAAGGCUGUGGUGAAAGUCCGGGGCUCAACCUCGGAUCGGCCGUGGCGACUCGUGGGCUGGAGCACUGUAGAGGCGGGUGGAAUUCCGGGUGUAGCGGUGGAAUGCGUAGAGAUCCGGAAGAACACCAGUGGCGAAGGCGGCCCGCUGGGCAGUGGCUGACGCUGAGGCGCGAAAGCGUGGGGAGCAACA